AGAUACCAAGACUCGCUUCAAUAUGGUGGCGCAUAACAGAGUUGAAUAAUUCCAUGUUGCCAUCAUUUUUCUUGAAAUUUAAAGAACGGGAAGGUAACUCCUGAGGAUUUCCUGUUGAUACAUACAUCUUCUAGAGGGAGGGACAAAGAUCAUGGUUACAAAUACUGUCAGUUGUGCAGGACAAAUAUUUCUAUUGUGCGACUGGUUCUCCUGUAUUCUCACAUUUGUCAAAGGUCAAGCUUCCUCUUAGGGCCGAUGAUAUGUCCUUGGGACUCUCUUAACCAGAUACGGAGAUGCUAUGUCUAUGCUAUACUCAGUAGCUGCAAGAUUAGAGCCGGCAUUGCACCUGUGUCUGAUGCCAUCUUUACAAAGUAUAGUGAUUUUACAGCCAACUCUACGCCUAUUCAAGUGCAAAUCCACGAGAGCUUAAUCCCUUCCUCAAGGUAAUAUGCAAUAC